rnacentral:rRNA from 1 species
GACGAACGCUGGCGGCGUGCUUAACACAUGCAAGUCGAACGCUGAAGCUUGGUGCUUGCACUGGGUGGAUGAGUGGCGAACGGGUGAGUAAUACGUGAGUAACCUGCCCUUGACUCUGGGAUAAGCCUGGGACACUGGGUCUAAUACUGGAUACGACAUGCCACUGCAUGGUGGUGUGUGGAAAGGGGUUUACUGGUUUUGGAUGGGCUCACGGCCUAUCAGCUUGUUGGUGGGGUAAUGGCCUACCAAGGCGACGACGGGUAGCCGGCCUGAGAGGGUGACCGGCCACACUGGGACUGAGACACGGCCCAGACUCCUACGGGAGGCAGCAGUGGGGAAUAUUGCACAAUGGGCGGAAGCCUGAUGCAGCGACGCCGCGUGAGGGAUGACGGCCUUCGGGUUGUAAACCUCUUUCAGCACGGAAGAAGCGAGAGUGACGGUACGUGCAGAAGAAGCGCCGGCUAACUACGUG